rnacentral:sRNA from 1 species
UUACAUCAGGCCACCCGAGUCUUCCACCU